GUAGCCUGGCGGCAGGCUAACACAUGCAGUCGAGCGGUACAGAGAGAAGCUGCUUCUCUGCUGACGAGCGGCGGACGGGUGAGUAACGCGUAGGAAUCUACCUAUUAGUGGGGGAUAAGCCAGAGAAAUUUGGUCUAAUACCGCAUACGCCCUACGGGGGAAAGGAGGGGAUCUUCGGACCUUUCGCUAUUAGAUGAGCCUGCGUAAGAUUAGCUAGUUGGUGAGGUAAUGGCUCACCAAGGCGACGAUCUUUAGCUGGUCUGAGAGGAUGAUCAGCCACACUGGGACUGAGACACGGCCCAGACUCCUACGGGAGGCAGCAGUGGGGAAUAUUGGACAAUGGGGGGAACCCUGAUCCAGCCAUGCCGCGUGUGUGAAGAAGGCCUUCGGGUUGUAAAGCACUUUCAGAUGUGAGGAAAGGUAAGUAGUUAAUACCUGCUUACUGUGACGUUAGCAUCAGAAGAAGGACCGGCUAACUCCGUGCCAGCAGCCGCGGUAAUACGGAGGGUCCGAGCGUUAAUCGGAAUUACUGGGCGUAAAGCGCGCGUAGGUGGUUUUGUCAGUCAGAUGUGAAAGCCCAGGUCUCAAACUUGGAACUGGACCUGGAUACUGGAAGAAUAGAGUACAUUAGAGGGGAGUGGAAUUUCCGGUGUUAGCGGGAAAUGCGUUAAAGAUCGGAA
rnacentral:rRNA from 1 species